rnacentral:rRNA from 1 species
UCUUCCCUCUGGCGGCGUGCCUAAUACAUGCAAGUCGAGCGGACGGACGAGAAGCUUGCUUCUCUGAUGUUAGCGGCGGACGGGUGAGUAACACGUGGAUAACCUACCUAUAAGACUGGGAUAACUUCGGGAAACCGGAGCUAAUACCGGAUAAUAUUUUGAACCGCAUGGUUCAAAAGUGAAAGACGGUCUUGCUGUCACUUAUAGAUGGAUCCGCGCUGCAUUAGCUAGUUGGUAAGGUAACGGCUUACCAAGGCAACGAUGCAUAGCCGACCUGAGAGGGUGAUCGGCCACACUGGAACUGAGACACGGUCCAGACUCCUACGGGAGGCAGCAGUAGGGAAUCUUCCGCAAUGGGCGAAAGCCUGACGGAGCAACGCCGCGUGAGUGAUGAAGGUCUUCGGAUCGUAAAACUCUGUUAUUAGGGAAGAACAUAUGUGUAAGUAACUGUGCACAUCUUGACGGUACCUAAUCAGAAAGCCACGGCUAACUACGUG